rnacentral:rRNA from 1 species
GUAGUAGUAGUUUCGACGUCGUCGGCACGAGACGACGCUGGCGGCGUGCUUAACACAUGCAAGUCGAACGCUGAAGCUCCCAGCUUGCUGGGGGUGGAUGAGUGGCGAACGGGUGAGUAACACGUGAGUAACCUGCCCCGAACUCUGGGAUAAGCGCUGGAAACGGCGUCUAAUACUGGAUAUGUCCUAUCACCGCAUGGUGUGUAGGUGGAAAGAAUUUCGGUUCGGGAUGGACUCGCGGCCUAUCAGCUAGAUGGUGAGGUAAUGGCUCACCAUGGCGACGACGGGUAGCCGGCCUGAGAGGGUGACCGGCCACACUGGGACUGAGACACGGCCCAGACUCCUACGGGAGGCAGCAGUGGGGAAUAUUGCACAAUGGGCGCAAGCCUGAUGCAGCAACGCCGCGUGAGGGAUGACGGCCUUCGGGUUGUAAACCUCUUUUUAGUAGGGAAGAAGCGCAAGUGACGGUACCUGCAGAAAAAGCACCGGCUAACUACGUG